CUUAAAUUGAAGAGUUUGAUCAUGGCUCAGAUUGAACGCUGGCGGCAGGCCUAACACAUGCAAGUCGAGCAGAAACGAGUUAUCUGAA
rnacentral:rRNA from 1 species